AUAUUUUGGUCCAAAUAACCUGUCCUUAGUCUAUGUCCCUAUAGUUAUGACUUAUGACUCACCCUGUAUAUAUAGGUAUGGAGAUAAAUACUUGGCAUAUAAGUUCUAGUGCAACAGUAAUAAAAUAACUAUGAUUUUUUGGAAUAAUAAAAUUCAAUGCAUCCGUGUAAAAGCUGUUGAAUAUUCCAUUGUCAUAUAGUUCUGAGCUGUUUUAAAUUGAUUACAAAAUUUUUCCCGGACAAAGUGACAACAAACAAGUAGAUCAAAAGUAUAUCAAAACUGUGUACUGUAGUAAGAACGAUCGCCAUCAUUUAACAUUUAUACAAUAGUUUUGUUACAAUAUCGAUCUUCCAACGCAGACAAUACAUAUAAAUAUAUAAACACACCUAUAGAUAAAAAAGAAAUAAAUUUUAAUAAUUAAAGCUUUAAUUUUUUCAGCGUCCUGUGUGAUAUCUGCGUAGCAUUGACAAAAGUGAUCCAGGACCACUUAGAACAAGACUUGCCAUUGGACGAACUUGAAGAAAUAGUAAGGGAGGGGUGCAGUGAAUUACCAGAUCCACUUGCAGAUUUAUGCAAGAAUAAACUGAUUCCAGCAGUCUACAACAUAUACCACCGAUUUGAGGACGCCUCGCCUGUAGAAAUAUGCACAGUUUUAGACUUAUGUGAGACAAAUUAAUAUGAAAAUCAGAAUAAACUCAAAAGUUUAAAAUAAAUUUUUGAACAAAAAUUA
rnacentral:lncRNA from 1 species